UCCACCCACCCCCAGCGUCUCAUCUUCUUCCCCAAGUUGCAGAGAUGGUUCUGCUUCAUCUCCCAAUAACUCACAUAUCUCUCCAUCUAUUUUACUUUCGUCUCAAAACCCAAAAACCCCAACCUUUACCAUAACCACCACUCUCCACCCAAUCCUCACUUCCAAAAACUUCUUCGCACCCAAAUCCACCCUCUCAACCUCAUAGCUCUUAACCAUUUCCCAAUUCCCAAAAUCCACAUCGAAAAUCUCAAGAAUUCGAAGCCCCCAUCGAAACCCCUCAAAAAUUCGAAAUCCCAGAAAGUGAUGGGGUAUACCACGACGUCAUUUCAGUCGAGCCCGGUGCUCAGCCCUGUCGGCUCCCCGCCCCACUCUCACUCCUCCAUCGGCUUCCAAAAAACAGCAUAACCCCAACUAUUCAUUGUUGUUUUGGUUUUGUGCUUAGAACAGAUGGGAUGAAGGGGAAGGUUCGAGGUUGGGUCGUGGGUCAAGCCCUUCAAGGACGGCGACUACGGCUUUGCCUUUCUUGACAGAGGGAAGAGAGACAGAGUAAGAGAAAAAGAAGACGGGAUGGGCGGUACAGAGAGGGUACGGGUGGUUGGCGGCGACAAUAGUGUGGGGUAGAGGCGGGUGGCAGUCAUGAGAGGGUAAGUUGGGUUUGGGGGAGAAGAUGAGCUGGAGAAGGAUUUUUAUUUAUGUAUUUAAUACUGUUGUUUUAUUUAUUUAGUUUAGGGCCCACUUGGGCCACAUAAUGCGAAACAUGUGGUUCAUAGUAUUGCCAUGUCAGUUUUUAAUGGGGGUUUUGCUAGAAUGACCAACAGACGU
rnacentral:lncRNA from 1 species